UACGAAGGGGCUAGCGUUGCUCGGAAUCACUGGGCGUAAAGCGCACGUAGGCGGAUUCCUAAGUCGGUGGUGAAAUCCUGGAGCUCAACUCCAGAACUGCCUCCGAUACUGAGAGUCUCCGAGUCCGGGAGAGGUGAGUGGAACUGCGAGUGUAGAGGUGAAAUUCGUAGAUAUUCGGAAGAACACCAGUGGCGAAGGCGGCUCACUGGCCCGGUACUGACGCUGAGGUGCGAAAGCGUGGGGAGCGAACAGG
rnacentral:rRNA from 1 species